GAAUGAGGACUGCAUGAUUAAUAAAAGAGAGAGAAAAGAAAGAUGUAACACAACCUAAUUUCAAUGAAGUACUUAAUACAUACCUAAUAAAGUCUUACAAAGCGAGUUUACUUUGGAUUGGCUUUAGAUUCCAGCACUUGAUAAAAACUGUAAGUGGAAAGAGAAGAAGCCAUUACGGAGGAAGCAGCAUCCCAUUGUGAUCUGCAGACUCAAGAGGCAGCUUGAUAGCAGGAAACCUAAGAUGCCAGAUCUUGUGAAGGGAAACUCAUCACCUGACACUCUACAUCCUCCCAAUGCUCAUUUCCCACCUCCCCCUCCAUCUAUCUUCUCCCUUGCUGCAUGAGUAGCUUUCAUUACAAUAAACUUCCAUUACCCUGUAUCUACUUUGUAGAAACAGUACUCAUUUCAAAUUGUUCAUUAGUAAUACUCCUUCAUUUUGCUCAAUUGAUAAUAUUUUCUACUCAUGAAUAUUGUUUGGGGUGAUUUGGGUUGGGUGGAAUGCAUCACAACUUUUUCCAAUUAAAAUUAAUGGAAAAUUGUUUUAUUUAAUGGCUUUUCGCUAAGUGACAGGGUUUUUCAGAGACAAAUUAAAAUCGUUCAGUGAGGGAUAGUAAUGUCUAACUUACCCUCCUGUUUUAUUUCCCCUUUAAUCUGGCUGGUUUUGAAAAGCAACUAGCUACCUCUAAUUAAAUAAAAUA